GACGUAGGGCGCGAGCGUUGUCCGGAUUUAUUGGGCGUAAAGAGCUCGUAGGCGGCUUGUCGCGUCGAAUGUGAAAACUCGGGGCUCAACCCCGCGCUUGCAUUCGAUACGGGCAGGCUCGAGUUCGGUAGGGGAGACUGGAAUUCCUGGUGUAGCGGUGAAAUGCGCAGAUAUCAGGAGGAACACCGGUGGCGAAGGCGGGUCUCUGGGCCGAUACUGACGCUGAGGAACGAAAGCUAGGGUAGCGAAAGGG
rnacentral:rRNA from 1 species